rnacentral:rRNA from 1 species
AUUGAACGCUGGCGGCAGGCCUAACACAUGCAAGUCGAGCGGAUGAAGGGAGCUUGCUCCUGGAUUCAGCGGCGGACGGGUGAGUAAUGCCUAGGAAUCUGCCUGGUAGUGGGGGAUAACGUCCGGAAACGGGCGCUAAUACCGCAUACGUCCUGAGGGCGUAAGUGGGGGAUCUUCGGACCUUCCGCUAUCAGAUGAGCCUAGGUCGGAUUAGCUAGUUGGUGGGGUAAAGGCCUACCAAGGCGACGAUCCGUAACUGGUCUGAGAGGAUGAUCAGUCACACUGGAACUGAGACACGGUCCAGACUCCUACGGGAGGCAGCAGUGGGGAAUAUUGGACAAUGGGCGAAAGCCUGAUCCAGCCAUGCCGCGUGUGUGAAGAAGGUCUUCGGAUUGUAAAGCACUUUAAGUUGGGAGGAAGGGCAGUAAGUUAAUACCUUGCUGUUUUGACGUUACCAACAGAAUAAGCACCGGCUAACUUCGUG